rnacentral:rRNA from 1 species
CGUACACUCCUACGGGAGGCAGCAGUGGGGAAUUUUGGACAAUGGGCGAAAGCCUGAUCCAGCCAUGCCGCGUGCAGGAUGAAGGCCUUCGGGUUGUAAACUGCUUUUGUACGGAACGAAACGGCCUUUUCUAAUAAAGAGGGCUAAUGACGGUACCGUAAGAAUAAGCACCGGCUAACUACGUGCCAGCAGCCGCGGUAAUACGUAGGGUGCAAGCGUUAAUCGGAAUUACUGGGCGUAAAGCGUGCGCAGGCGGUUAUGUAAGACAGUUGUGAAAUCCCCGGGCUCAACCUGGGAACUGCAUCUGUGACUGCAUAGCUAGAGUACGGUAGAGGGGGAUGGAAUUCCGCGUGUAGCAGUGAAAUGCGUAGAUAUGCGGAGGAACACCGAUGGCGAAGGCAAUCCCCUGGACCUGUACUGACGCUCAUGCACGAAAGCGUGGGGAGCAAACAGGAUUAGAAACCCUAGUAGUCCCAUGA